CACUCAUUCAAAGAGUGCGUAAUAGCUCACUGGUCGAGUGAUCCUGCGCCGAAGAUUUCCGGGGCUAAAACUUACUACCGAAGCUACGGCAUCAGUAAUGAUGGGUAGGGGAGCUUCCCAUACGGGUUGAAGCAUGACCGUAAGGACAUGUGGACAGUAUGGGAGUGAGAAUGUUGGCAUGAGUAGCGAGAUGUGGGUGAGAAUCCCACAGGCCGUAAACCCAAGGUUUCCAGGGGAAGGUUCGUCCGCCCUGGGUUAGUCGGGACCUAAGCUGAGGCCGAAAGGCGUAGGUGAUGGACAACAGGUUGAUAUUCCUGUACUACCGAUAACCGUUUGAGAGAAGGGAUGACACAGUAGGAUAAGCUAAGCACACGGUUGGUUAUGUGUGCCCAAGCAUUGAGGCAGUCAAAGUAGGCAAAUACGCUUUGAUAAUGCUGGGAUGUGAUGGGGAGCGAAAGUUAGUAGCGAAGUAGCUGAUUUCACACUGGCA
rnacentral:rRNA from 1 species